UACGUAGGAGGCAAGCGUUGUCCGGAAUUACUGGGCGUAAAGCGCGUGUAGGUGGUGGGACAAGUCUGCUGUGAAAGCGCCUGGCUUAACCGGGCGAGGUCGGCGGAAACUGUUCGACUCGAGGACGGUAGAGGGGGGGUGGAAUUCCCGGUGUAGUGGUGAAAUGCGUAGAGAUCGGGAGGAACACCUGUGGCGAAGGCGGCCCCCCUGGGCCGGCCCCUGACACUGAGACGCGAAGGCGUGGGGGAGCGAACGGGG
rnacentral:rRNA from 1 species